rnacentral:rRNA from 1 species
UACGUAGGCAGCGAGCGUUGUUCGGAGUUACUGGGCGUAAAGGGCGCGUAGGCGGCCUGUCAAGUCAAUUGUGAAAUCUCCGGGCUUAACUCGGAACGGUCAAUUGAUACUGUCAGGCUAGAGUGCAGAAGGGGCAAUCGGAAUUCUUGGUGUAGCGGUGAAAUGCGUAGAUAUCAAGAGGAACACCUGAGGUGAAGACGGGUUGCUGGGCUGACACUGACGCUGAGGCGCGAAAGCCAGGGGAGCAAACGGG